GACCCCACUGCUAUCGGGUGGGACUAAAACAUNNCAGUCGAGCGCCUUNCAAGCUAUGGUGAAGGCGCGGCAAACGGCUCAGUAACACGUGGCCAACCUACCCUUGGGACGGAGACAACCCCGGGAAACUGGGGCUAAUCCCCGAUAGGUAAGGAAUCCUGGAAUGGAUCUUUGCUGAAAGGGCGUCUAGACCAUGCUUCUUGACGUCGCCUAAGGAUGGAGCCGCGGCCGAUCAGGUAGUUGGCGAGGCAACGGCUCACCAAGCCUAUAACCGGUACGGGCCGUGAGAGCGGUAGCCCGGAGAUGGGCACUGAGACAAGGGCCCAGGCCCCACGGGGCGCAGCAGUUGCGAAAACUCCGCAAUGCGCGAAAGCGUGACGGGGCUACCCCGAGUGCCGCCCGUUGAGGGCGGCUUUUCCACGGUGUAAGGAGCCGUGGGAAUAAGGAGAGGGCAAGACUGGUGUCAGCCGCCGCGGUAAUACCAGCUCUCCGAGUGGUGGGGACGAUUAUUGGGCUUAAAGCGUUCGUAGCCGGCUUAACAAGUCUUCCGUUAAAUCCAACGAUCUAAUCGUUGGGCUGCGGGAGAUACUGUUGGGCUAGGAGGCGGGAGAAGCCGACGGUAUUCCCGGGGUAGGGGUGAAAUCCUGUAAUCCCGGGAGGACCACCAGUGGCGAAGGCGGUCGGCUAGAACGCGCUCGACGGUGAGGGACGAAAGCUGGGGGAGCGAACCGGAUUAGAAACCCGGAUAGUCCCAGCUGUAAACGAUGCGGGCUAGGUGUUGGGGUGGCCAUGAGCCACUUCAGUGCCGCAUGGAAGCAAUUAAGCCCGCCGCCUGGGGAGUACGGCCGCAAGGCUGAAACUUAA
rnacentral:rRNA from 1 species